GACGGAGGAUGCAAGUGUUAUCCGGAAUCACUGGGCGUAAAGCGUCUGUAGGUGGUCAAAUAAGUCAACUGUUAAAUCAUGAGGCUCAACCUCGAAAUCGCAGUCGAAACUAUUAGACUAGAGUAUAGUAGGGGUAAAGGGAAUUUCCAGUGGAGCGGUGAAAUGCGUAGAGAUUGGAAAGAACACCGAUGGCGAAGGCACUUUACUGGGCUAUUACUAACGAUCAGAGACGAAAGCUAGGGUAGCAAAUGGG
rnacentral:rRNA from 1 species